GCGGUGCAUAAAUGUUCCAAAAGGGGGUGCUGUUUUCUGCAAUUCCUGGCACUACCGCAAUUCUAACAUGUUUGUCCUGCUGGGGACACCGUAGUGCAGGGGAUUUUUUGUGCGCGAACGCUGUAUUCCUUACAGUGUGUUUACUGCCUGUAAGGUGGACGAAAUAAACGCGCCAAGGUCUCCCCACAACUAAGAGCCCUGUGUCCAGUUCCUCUUCUGCACGGAACACAUCCCACCUUCACCCAAAA